rnacentral:lncRNA from 1 species
UUCUUUACAGAGGGAGUACUAAAUUGCAAAUUGAUGGUCCACAAUAAUCAGGGUGUAAGCUUGUAACAAAUAGCACACAGCAUAUCCUCAACAAACAACCGAUCUUGUAAUUAGUUCUUGGGCAUGUUCAUGAGUACUCAAGAAUGAGAUCAUGGUGAAGUUGCUGCAAAUUAUUAUGUUCUUUUCCCCUCAUGUACUUCCAAGUUAUACAGACACAUAAAAGGUGCUAGUAACUAUGACAAGCAUGUUGAAAUGCAGGAUGAUACAGAUUUAAUGUUAAAAGUUGUGUUAAAAUUUUUAAGAUUGCUUGUUCCUGCAUCGUGAUUUUGGUUAUAAAAACUUCUGCAG